rnacentral:rRNA from 1 species
AUUGAACGCUGGCGGCAUGCCUUACACAUGCAAGUCGAACGGCAGCACGGGUGCUUGCACCUGGUGGCGAGUGGCGAACGGGUGAGUAAUACAUCGGAACAUGUCCUGUAGUGGGGGAUAGCCCGGCGAAAGCCGGAUUAAUACCGCAUACGAUCUACGGACGCAAGCGGGGGACCUUCGGGCCUCGCGCUAUAGGGUUGGCCGAUGGCUGAUUAGCUAGUUGGUGGGGUAAAGGCCUACCAAGGCGACGAUCAGUAGCUGGUCUGAGAGGACGACCAGCCACACUGGGACUGAGACACGGCCCAGACUCCUACGGGAGGCAGCAGUGGGGAAUUUUGGACAAUGGGCGAAAGCCUGAUCCAGCAAUGCCGCGUGUGUGAAGAAGGCCUUCGGGUUGUAAAGCACUUUUGUCCGGAAAGAAAUCCUUGGCUCUAAUACAGUCGGGGGAUGACGGUACCGGAAGAAUAAGCACCGGCUAACUACGUG